rnacentral:rRNA from 1 species
UACGGGGGGUGCAAGCGUUGUUCGGAAUUAUUGGGCGUAAAGCGCGUGUAGGCGGUUUGUUAAGUCUGUUGUGAAAGCCCUGGGCUCAACCCAGGAAGCGCACUGGAUACUGGCAGACUUGAAUACGGGAGAGGGUAGUGGAAUUCCUGGUGUAGGAGUGAAAUCCGUAGAUAUCGGGAAGAACACCAGUGGCGAAGGCGGCUAACUGGUCCAGCACUGACGCUGAGGUGCGAAAGCGUGGGGAGCAAACAGG